AACGAACGCUGGCGGCAGGCCUAACACAUGCAAGUCGAGCGAAGCCUUCGGGCUUAGCGGCGGACGGGUGAGUAACGCGUGGGAACGUGCCCUUUGGUACGGAAUAGCCCCGGGAAACUGGGAGUAAUACCGUAUGUGGUCGAGAGACGAAAGAUUUAUCGCCAAAGGAUCGGCCCGCGUUGGAUUAGGUAGUUGGUGGGGUAAUGGCCUACCAAGCCGACGAUCCAUAGCUGAUUUGAGAGGAUGAUCAGCCACACUGGGACUGAGACACGGCCCAGACUCCGACGGGAGGCGGCAGUGGGGGAUCUUAGACAUUGGGGGAAACCCUGAUCUCGCCAUGUCGCGUGAUCGAUGAAGGCCUUAGGGUUGUAAAGAUCUUUCAGUGGGGAAGAUAAUGACUGUACCCACAGAAGAAGCCCCGGCUAACUCCGUGCCAGCCGCCGCGGUAACAC
rnacentral:rRNA from 1 species